UAUUCCUACGGGGGGCAGCAGUGAGGAAUAUUGGUCAAUGGUCGGGAGACUGAACCAGCCAAGCCGCGUGAGGGAGGAAGGUACAGAGUAUCGUAAACCUCUUUUGUCAGGGAACAAAGACUGGGACGCGUCCCCGGAUGAGUGUACCUGAAGAAAAAGCAUCGGCUAACUCCGUGCCAGCAGCCGCGGUAAUACGGAGGAUGCGAGCGUUAUCCGGAUUUAUUGGGUUUAAAGGGUGCGCAGGCGGCGAGUUGAGUCAGCGGUAAAAUUUCGAGGCUCAACCCCGACGAGCCGUUGAAACUGGC
rnacentral:rRNA from 1 species